GAGCUUUAAAGAUACAGCUCUAUCAGGCCAGGCGUGGUGGCUCAUGCCUGUAAUCCCAGCACUUUGGGAGGCCAAGGAGGGAGAUCAAGACCAUCCUGACUAACAUGGUGAAACCCCAUCUCUACUAAAAAUACAGAAAAUUAGCCCGGCGUGGUGUUGUACUCCUGUAGUCCCAGCUACUCAGCGGGCUGAGGCAGGAGAAUCGCUUGAACCCAGGAAGUGGAGGUUGCAGUGAGCCGAGAUUGCGCCACUGCACUGCAGCUUGGGCGACAGAGUGAGACUCCAUCUAAAAAAUACAGCUGUAUCAAAUCCGCUUGUGUUUUAGCCAUCUGAGAGAGCUGAUAUCAGUCAACAAAUAACUCAGUCAGAACUGAGCACUAACACUGCAGGCCCAAGUUUACGAAGACACAAGAAUCUUAAGUGUGCAAUGCAAUGAGGAUGGAGCAACAUAUACACCAGUCAAGACAAAGAACAUGUCCAUUACCCCAAAACGUUCUCUUACACCCACUUCCAGGUAAUAGGACUAAAAUGAACAAAAGGAACACAAUCUUUUGCCUUGACAGAACUUACCUCUUAGUGAGGGAACAUAGGCC